GAUGAACGCUGGCGGCGUGUUUAACACAUGCAAGCCGAACGAUGAAGCCCAGCUUGCUGGGUGGAUUAGUGGCGAACGGGUGAGUAACACGUGAGUAACCUGCCCUUAACUCUGGGAUAAGCCUGGGAAACUAGGUCUAAUACCGGAUAGGAGCGCCUACCGCAUGGUGGGUGUUGGAAAGAUUUAUCGGUUUUGGAUGGACUCGCGGCCUAUCAGCUUGUUGGUGAGGUAAUGGCUCACCAAGGCGACGACGGGUAGCCGGCCUGAGAGGGUGACCGGCCACACUGGGACUGGGACACGGCCCAGACUCCGACGGGAGGCAGCAGUGGGGAAUAUUGCACAAGGGGCGAAAGCCUGAUGCAGCGACGCCGCGUGAGGGAUGACGGCCUUCGGGGUGUAAACCUCUUUCAGUAGGGAAGAAGCGAAAGUGACGGUACCUGCAGAAGAAGCACCGGCUAGCUACGUG
rnacentral:rRNA from 1 species